CUUUCAUUUGAUAUGCGACAACCUUACCAUCUGAGAAAUUUGAAUUUUUGCACUAAAUGACCCCACUCUUCCACUUGGGAUGAAAAAGAGGUUUAAAAUUUUCAUUUUUAAGUAGAGUUUAUUGAGACCUUCAAUUUGAUAUAUCAGAUGACCCUAUUUCACAAAGUGCCAAAAAUGAUGCAAUAUCAACGAUAUAAAUAGAAGUUAUGAAACUUACAAAGUCGAUGCAAAACAUGAAAAUUUCAAAAUGAUUUUUUGGUGUUUUUUUCAAUGGAAUUCUUUUGGUAUUUGGUCAAACAUAUAACUAUGUUAACCUCUUCAAUUUCUUAAACAUUUUAAGUGGUAAGCUGUUGCUGAUUCAGAAAUACAUGCCGCGGCUCGCAAAAUUUCAAACUGCAUUAUCUCUGAAACGACAAUAGAUAUCUCAAAUCUGUUAAAUGGUAAAUGAUCUGCAGUUAAAGGACAACAUUAUAGAAAAAGAAUUGGGACAAUUUCAAAGUUCACCAAGGUCACAAUUAAUCAAAUAUAUGAUGCAAUACCAAACUUGAGAACCGGAAGUCGUUGAGACAUGGGACUAUCACCAUUCAACUCAGGACCACUUGCCCUUUCAAAUAUCACCAGUUCAAGGUCAUAGUAUAAUGUGAAGGUCAAGGUGAAAUUUCAUCAUGACCUGACAUUGACCUCAAAUUGAAGGUCUUGAAUUACUGAUCAUCUUUGCAGUUUAUAGUAGGUUGAUAUCUGUUACCUUUAAAAAGAUAUACACAAAAUACUAUACUUUUAAGAAUCAUCCCGUUGUAACUUUUGAACAGACGGUCGGACAUUUUUGGGCUUAUUAUAAAAAAUGUAGAGCUCGUCGAGAGGAACCUUUUAUACGCUGUAUGUAUGCAGCAAAGUCUUAUCGUUUUCCUAAUAUGUAAGCUUGAAAUUGCAGCGUAAUUUUAUUUUGCACUCUGUGACCUUUGACCUUGGGUGCAUAUUAAAGGUCACAUGAAUUUAAGAUUAUUGGUGAAGGUCCCAAGUCUCUACAACUUCCGGUUCUGGAAAUACAAUUUUUCUAAAAUUGUACACAAUUUUUCAAGGGUAAUAACUCCUUAUAAGGGUUAAUAACAAAAUGAUUGUAUAUGUUCAUUAACAUUGCCAUCUGUUCCUGUACAUGUUGCCGUUUUCAAAUCAAUUCUAUCUCUAAUACUUUUUGAGAAAAAUGCAAAGGAAAGAAAUUGCUUCAAGGGGAUAUAACUCUCAUAGGGGACGAUGCAAUCCUAUUCAACCUCAUAUGGUAAUACAUUAUGAUGAGAUCUACCUAUUGUCCAAAUAAGAUAAUGAUAUCUUGAAAAACAACGAGAGGGGGCCAUGUUGAAAAAAACUAAUAAAAGGGAGAUAACUUAUAAAGGGGAUGAUGAAAUCCUUAACAGGGUCAUCUGUUAUACCUCAUGAUGAGGUUUAUCGAUGGUCCAUGUUUGGUCUUGAUAACUUCAAAAGAAACAUAGGGAGGCCAUGCCAAAAAAAUGUUGGAAGAAAAAAAAGAAAAAAAAGAAAAAACAUUAGAAAAACAAUAAGGUCUUUCCUUACGUAGGGGAAAGACCUUAAAAACAGGAGAAAAACAAUAAGGUCUUUCCUCGCGGAGAGGAAAGACCUUAAAAAACAUACAACAACCCUACCUUAAAAGAACAUUUAUUUUUUGCACUCAACGACCCCAUCCAACCUAGUUUUGGGAGACGUCAAUUUGAAAUUUGAAAUGUACGCUUUAUGUUCUUUCAUUUGAUAUGCGACAACCUUACCAUCUGAGAAAUUUGAAUGUUUGCACUAAAUGACCCCACCCGUCCCCCUGGGAUGAAAAGGGGGUUAAAUUUUCAUUUUUAAGUAGAGUUUGUUAAGACCUUCAAUUUGAUAUAUCAGAUGACCCCAUUUGACAAAGUGCAAAUAAUGAUGCAAUAUCAACUAUAUAAAUAGAAGUUAUGAAACUUACAAAGUCAAUGCAAAACUUAAAAUUU
rnacentral:lncRNA from 1 species